rnacentral:rRNA from 1 species
AGCGAACGCUGGCGGCAGGCCUAACACAUGCAAGUCGAACGAACUCUUCGGAGUUAGUGGCGGACGGGUGAGUAACACGUGGGAACGUGCCUUUAGGUUCGGAAUAACUCAGGGAAACUUGUGCUAAUACCGAAUGUGCCCUUCGGGGGAAAGAUUUAUCGCCUUUAGAACGGCCCGCGUCUGAUUAGCUAGUUGGUGAGGUAAAGGCUCACCAAGGCGACGAUCAGUAGCGGGUCUGAGAGGAUGAUCAGCCACAUUGGGACUGAGACACGGCCCAAACUCCUACGGGAGGCAGCAGUGGGGAAUCUUGCGCAAUGGGCGAAAGCCUGACGCAGCCAUGCCGCAUGAAUGAUGAAGGUCUUAGGAUUGUAAAAUUCUUUCACCGGGGACGAUAAUGACGGUACCCGGAGAAGAAGCCCCGGCUAACUUCGUGCCAGCCGCCGCCGUAA